GGCGAGGUAGCUCAGUUGGUAGAGCACACGACUGAAAAUCGUGGUGUCGCGGGUUCGAAUCCCGCCCUCGCCACUA
rnacentral:tRNA from 1 species